AUGCGUUAGGGAUUGAAACGGCAUCCUUUUUUGCAGCCAAUUCGAGUGAAUUUGUGAAGAAUGAACAAAUUUGUAUCGAGAAUGCAGCAAAAAAGAUAUAGUGAAAAGCCCGCCCGAAC
rnacentral:sRNA from 1 species